rnacentral:rRNA from 1 species
UAAUACUGGAUAGGCAAUUAUUCCUGUAAUGGUUUUUUGUUUAAAUGUUUUUUCGCCCAAGGAUGGGUCUGCGGCCGAUUAGGUAGUUGGUUAGGUAAUGGCUUACCAAGCCUUUGAUCGGUACGGGUUGUGAGAGCAAGAGCCCGGAGAUGGAACCUGAGACAAGGUUCCAGGCCCUACGGGGUGCAGCAGGCGCGAAACCUCCGCAAUGUGAGAAAUCGCGACGGGGGGAUCCCAAGUGCCAUUCUUAACGGGAUGGCUUUUCUUUAGUGUAAAAAGCUUUUGGAAUAAGAGCUGGGCAAGACCGGUGCCAGCCGCCGCGGUAACACCGGCAGCUCUAGUGGUAGCAAUUUUUAUUGGGCCUAAAGCGUCCGUAGCCGGUUUAAUAAGUCUCUGGUGAAAUCCUGUAGCUUAACUGUGGGAAUUGCUGGAGAUACUAUUAGACUUGAGACCGGGAGAGGUUAGAGGUACUCCCAGGGUAGAGGUGAAAUUCUGUAAUCCUGGGAGGACCGCCUGUUGCGAAGGCGUCUAACUGGAACGGUUCUGACGGUGAGGGACGAAAGUUAGGGGCGCGAACCGGAUUAGAUACCCGGGUAGUCCUAACUGUAAACGAUGCGGACUUGGUGU